UGUGAGUGUUUAGAGCCUGGCUUCUAGAGUGUGACCAAUCUGUGUCUCUAUUGCAGCAAGAUAAAGCCGAUCUUAUUCGGCCGAAACGCAAGUAUGAAAAGAAGCCCAAAGUCUUACCAUCGUCUGCUGCUGCUCAGCAGGCGUGUCCCGCUGCACUGCCAGUCUUUAAUGCUAAAGAUUUAAACCAGUACGAUUUCCCCAGCUCGGAUGAAGAACCGCACUCCCAGGUUUUAUCUGGCUCUUCAGAAGCUGAGGAAGAGAAUGACCCCGAUGGCCCCUUUGCUUUCCGUAGGAAAGCAGGCUGUCAGUACUAUGCUCCUCACUUAGACCAAACUGGUAACUGGCCUUGGACUAGUCCUAAAGAUGGAGGAUUAGGGGAUGUGCGAUACAGAUACUGCUUAACUGCUCUCACUGUACCCCAAAGGUGUAUCGGAUUUGCACGAAGAAGGGUUGGGCGUGGUGGAAGGUAAUGUAUUCCGUUUUCCUUUCAUUGGCUUUUUUUUUUUUUUUUUUUUUUUGGUCGCUUUGAGACAGGGUCUCCCUGUAGCCCCAGCUGUCCUAGAACUCACUAUGUAGACCAGGCUGGCCUUGAACUCACAGAGAUCCACCUGCCUCUGUCUCCCGAGUGCUGGGAUUGAAGACAUGCACCACCAUGCCCGGCUUCAUUAGCAUAUUUUUAGACAUUAGGAAAAUUAAGUUUGUAAAUUGAGGCACGCUUCAUAGCAGCCAAGUGGUUCCUGUUUGUUCUUAACUGAAUUGUUGACAUUCUGCUCGCUUCUUUCCUAGUGCAUGAUUCCAGUAGAUCCCAGUGGAUUUUCUUUUCUCCCCAGGAUUCAUUAAAAACCUCAGCUAACUUGUCACAGAAUUCUCAGAAAAGACGAACGCUAAAGACAAGUGUGUGCUUACACCCUACAAGAAAGUUGUUGAAUUCUGGGGGAAAGAAUUGAAUACAUGAAGAAGUGUUACAUUAAAUAAUAAAAU
rnacentral:lncRNA from 1 species